rnacentral:rRNA from 1 species
UACGAAGGGGGCUAGCGUUGUUCGGAAUCACUGGGCGUAAGGCGCACGUAGGCGGAUCUUUAAGUCAGGGGUGAAAUCCCGAGGCUCAACCUCGGAACUGCCUUUGAUACUGGGGAUCUCGAGUCCGGGAGAGGUGAGUGGAACUGCGAGUGUAGAGGUGAAAUUCGUAGAUAUUCGCAAGAACACCAGUGGCGAAGGCGGCUCACUGGCCCGGAACUGACGCUGAGGUGCGAAAGCGUGGGGAGCAAGAGGAGUA